UUCUGUAUGAAUAUCGAAAGCUUGUAACAAUAAAUACUUCAAGUUAAAAUGUCCUCUGAUACCGAUGUAAUCCAUCAACAUAUACAAAUUAAUCUUUAUCUCAUCGUGCUGAUCUCUCUGAAUAUAAAAGCGCUCCAGAUUUCCCAUUUGUUCACACUGCUCCAGAAACAGCAAUCCAAUAAAAUAUCCCUCCACUCCUCAGCUCCACCAUGAAGUUGCUUCUCGUUCUCGCUGCUACCUUUGCAGUCGUUGCCGCCGGCACGGUCCAUCCCGCCCUUAACCUCGCCAUCCAACAAGGCGCCACCGAGGCGAUCCUUGAACUUCCCCAGAUCAUGAAACAAGUCGAAGCGAGCCGAUCGCUCUCGUCCCUCUCCGGUGAUGCCAAGGUGUCCGCCCUCGUCGCCACGCUGCAAGGACUCACUUCCGCUGCUCAGGCCCCCUUCGUCCAAGUCGCUUCCUCCCUCGGCCUCGAGACCCAGACCUACUGGGGAUCCAACAUCAUCCUCGUCAAGGGUUUGACCCCCGAGACUCUCGCCACCUUGGCUGCCACCCCCGGAGAAUUCACCCUCCGUAAGGAAGUCACCGUCCAAAUGACUCCAUCCGUCGUCGUUGAGUUUGCCCAGAACGCUACUCAGAACCUGCAAUGGGGCGUUGCCAAGAUCAGGGCACCCGAAGCUUGGGCGCGCACUCCAGGUGAAGGCGUCGUUGUUUGCAUCAUCGAUACCGGAGUUAAUCUUGGUCAUGUUGCGCUCGCUGACGCGUACAGUGGUGCUUGGAGCGACCCGUACUACAACACGGUUGAGCCAACUGACCAACAAGGACACGGAUCUCACUUGACGGGAACCGUGGUUGGACGUGCCAACGGUGUUGGUGUUGCCCCUGCUGCCCAAUGCACCAUAGGCCAGGAGCUGCGGCGGUAGGACAAAGGAAAGUGGGGCUCCUGGCCUAUGGUGCAAUGGGUCGCAUGCCGUGGGCUUAACCACCAAGGAUCCGGAACAGAAGCUAACCUGAUCAACUGCGGCCAAUGGGUCCUGACCGCCAACCCGAGACCAAACAUCGUCUCCAACUCGUGGGGUGGUGGUUCUGGGGCUACAUGGUACAACACUGUUGUCUCUGCCUGGCGAUCGGCUGGGAUCAUCCCAGUUUUCGCGAUCGGAGGCUCAGGAUCCUCCUGCAGGUCGGUCGGGUCCCCCGGAGAUCAACCCAACCUUAUCUCCGUCGGAGCCACCACCGACACCGACGCCAUGGCUACCUUCUCCGCCCGAGGACCCAACGCACGAGGAGAACUCAAACCAGAAGUCUCCGCACCAGGAAACAUCGUGUCGUGCGGAACUGGAGCUAACAAUUACGUCACGAUGUCCGGAAGUUCAAUGGCCACCCCCCACACCGCUGGAGCCAUCGCUCUUCUCAUGUCUGCCAACCCAAGCUGGGGAUAUGACCAGAUCUUCACUGCCCUCACCACCACGCCAGCCCACCCCACCUUGUCCAAUGCUGACAGGAAUUGUGGACUUCCGGAAGGUGGAGAUUUCCCAAAUCAUGCCUUCGGCUACGGACGUAUCGAUGUUGCUGCUGCUCUUGGACUUUAAUUUGAGUGAUCAACACAACUUGUUUUAGUCAAACCAAAUUAUUUUUAGAUUGGACUAUCCCCAGAAAUUAAAUAAAAAAUAUUUUCAAAAAUAA